rnacentral:tmRNA from 1 species
GGGGACGCAAUGGUUUCGACGGGAAUUGUGAACUUAGGCAAGCGAGUAAUGUUUGACGAAACAUUAAAAAAACGUUAUUUAAAUGUUAAACGGAGACGAUCCUAACAGAAAUAAAAAAGCCAAGAAAACAGCAAAGGUUUACUCUUUCGGUUGUCCAAUGGCUGCUUAAUUAAAUUUAAGCGAUGUUUUCAUUUGGAGUGCUACGGCCGUUUGAGAGCAUAAUAUUAGUAGUGAACGUGAAUUAAUGAGUUUCUUUGUAGUUAGUCAUGAAGUUUUUAAAGAUAUCUUAAGAAUAAAGUUUUCCAAUAAUCUUGUUUUUUAGAGAAAAUUUUAAAUAUUGGAUACACUCGUAGAAAACUUAAGCGAAUGAUUUUCGGACAGGGGUUCGAUUCCCCUCGUUUCCACCA